rnacentral:rRNA from 1 species
UGGGGAAUAUUGGACACUGGGGGGAACCCUGAUCCAGCCAUGCCGCGUGUGUGAAGAAGGCCUUAUGGUUGUAAAGCACUUUAAGCGAGGAGGAGGGUACUGGUAUUAAUACUACCAGCUACUGGACGUUACUCGCAGAAUAAGCACCGGCUAACUCUGUGCCAGCAGCCGCGGUAAUACAGAGGGUGCGAGCGUUAAUCGGAUUUACUGGGCGUAAAGCGUGCGUAGGCGGCUAAUUGAGUCAGAUGUGAAAUCCCCGAGCUUAACUUGGGAAUUGCAUUCGAUACUGGUUAGCUAGAGUGUGGGAGAGGAUGGUAGAAUUCCAGGUGUAGCGGUGAAAUGCGUAGAGAUCUGGAGGAAUACCGAUGGCGAAGGCAGCCAUCUGGCCUAACACUGACGCUGAGGUACGAAAGCAUGGGGAGCAAACAGG